rnacentral:rRNA from 1 species
AAGUCCCAUAACGAGCGCAACCCUUACCCUUAUUUGCCAGCGGUUCGGCCGGGAACUAUAAGGGGACUGCCGGUGACAAACCGGAGGAAGGUGAGGACGACGUCAAGUCAUCAUGGCCCUUACGAGUAGGGCUACACACGUGCUACAAUGGGGAAUACAGACGGACGCUAAAGCGUGAGCUGGUGCCAAUCCUAAAAAAUUUCUCGUAGUCCGGAUUGCAGUCUGCAACUCGACUGCAUGAAGUCGGAAUCGCUAGUAAUCGCGAAUCAGCAUGUCGCGGUGAAUACGUUCUCGGGUCUU